ensembl:miRNA
CAGCGGCGGCGUGGAGCUGGGCUGCACUCUGCACUUUUCUGACUCCCCAGGGAGCUGUUAGCAAGGCUGCAGACAUUCCAGCCAUGCAGGGCUGGCCUUCC